CAAAAAGGACUCAGGUUGGAGUUAGGCAUUUGAUAAUGACUCUUAUAACAAUAAAUAGAAUUUACAUGUUGCAUAUAUGUACAUGUUCUUAUACCAUUCACGUCAUCCUGUUUUCUUUGCAGGAUACUGUGAGAUCACAUCUUUUUAUUUUACACUUGGACCGCUUUCUAUUUUUUCCUUUCCUUUUUUUUGGAAGAGCUCCAGAAAAUGAAUUUCCUUAAAUGUUGUACUGUGUCACAGUAAAACAACAGCAGCAACUAGAUAGGCAGCCAAGACUUUGGUAUUCACCAAUCCCAUUGUUACUGGUGAUUUUGGAUGAAACAGGGCAGUUUGCUAACUCUUCUCUCUCUUCCUUCUCUCUCCACUCACUCUUCCCAAUCCAAAACCACAGAAGUAGCCUAGGCUUCACCUACCUUUUGCUUCGUCCUCUCCAAUUCUGCACCACGCUACUUCCCCUCCAAACGUUUAUAACCUGUCACCAAUUUUAAACCCUGAAUAUUUUCUGAAUCUACUUCCCUUCUCUGGAUCUCUACUUCUGGUUCUUAUCAUUCCUUAUACCUCUGGCUGAAGUCAUUUUUAGCUGUUCUCCCUGCUUUGGCCUUGUGCUCACCCAAGAUGAAAGCCACCAAGACUUCCUUGCUUAAGAGCUUUCAAUGACUCCUCAUCACCAACAAUAAACAAGGCCCCACGUGAUCUCAUGUGAUCUCUCAGCCUCAUCUCUCAAGACUUUCGUCCUCAAACUUCAUGCACUGAUAGCAUAAAGUAUCUUGCAGCUUUUCAGGAUAGUACACUAGGUCAUGAGCUUUAUUUUAUUCUAUUCCAUCUACUUAGAGAUCCCUUCUCACUUGUCUUCACUUGGGUGAUACUAACUCAUUUUUUAAGACAUCCCAGCCAUCGUCUGGCUCAGGAAACAUUCCUCAAAGCCUUGGGUAAGAAAGUGGUGCUAUUGCAUCUUGUGCCUAUUAUCUUACUUUUGAAUGCAUAUUGGAAAUAUCUACUUGGGAAUCUCUCGCCUGUUAGGCCAUAACAUUAUCAUUUUAGUCACAUUUGUCUCAGUGCCUGAGGCAAUAUUCAACACAGAAUAGAUACUCUGUUAAUAUUGUUUAUUGGAAUCUAACACCCUCAGAGCAGGGAGUGUAACUUUUCUACUGUUGGACUCCAAGCAG
rnacentral:lncRNA from 1 species